rnacentral:rRNA from 1 species
ACUCCUACGGGAGGCAGCAGUGGGGAAUAUUGCACAAUGGGCGCAAGCCUGAUGCAGCCAUGCCGCGUGUAUGAAGAAGGCCUUCGGGUUGUAAAGUACUUUCAGCGGGGAGGAAGGCAAUACGGUUAAUAACCGUGUUGAUUGACGUUACCCGCAGAAGAAGCACCGGCUAACUCCGUGCCAGCAGCCGCGGUAAUACGGAGGGUGCAAGCGUUAAUCGGAAUUACUGGGCGUAAAGCGCACGCAGGCGGUCUGUCAAGUCGGAUGUGAAAUCCCCGGGCUCAACCUGGGAACUGCAUUCGAAACUGGCAGGCUUGAGUCUUGUAGAGGGGGGUAGAAUUCCAGGUGUAGCGGUGAAAUGCGUAGAGAUCUGGAGGAAUACCGGUGGCGAAGGCGGCCCCCUGGACAAAGACUGACGCUCAGGUGCGAAAGCGUGGGGAGCAAACAGGAUUAGAAACCCCGGUAGUCCC